rnacentral:lncRNA from 1 species
GCUCGUCUCAAGAGUAAUAGAUUAUUUUAGUAUAAAAUCUUAUGCAAAGAAAAUAAAGACACAGAGAUAAAAAGCAUAAAAAGCAAGUCUUUAUUGCAUAUCAAAAAGUGGAAUAUAAAAGAUAUAAAAGAAAGCACACUAUCAAAACAAGAUUAUAGAGAUAUCCUGAGAAUGUGAUGACUAGCCGAUCAUUGGGAUGCUUCUCACUGAAAUUUUCAUCUUGAAACUCUAAGGACUUCCUUCCAAUGACUUGGAGCAUGGAUCAAGAGUAGGAGGAGAGAUUUUUGUAGAGAAAAAGAGGACUUUAGGUCGGUUGUUUGAAGGUUUAGAGAUGGAAGAGGG